CAGUUUCUAAUGGGGUAGGCUUGGAACAUAAGGUGUUGGCAAGAGGGCUGUUUUGUGGGUUAGAGAUGUGGCUAAAAGACCACAUCUACACUCUGCAUUAGGCCCCUAUUGGUAAGGUGACCUAAAUAGGGGUGACUGGUGGUCACAGAGGUUCUUGAUAGGUCUGUGAUCAAACUAGAUAUGAUUAUGGUAAGAUGCCAAGACCCCAGGGAAAGCAUGUAUGCAUUCCCUGCAGAAUGACAUGCCAAAUCAAGUUUGAGGGAAAGGAUUCUUCACACACACCAAGAAGAGAGGCCAUGACAGAACCUGAUUAGGUUCUACCAGAAGGUUGAAGAUCAUCUCAACACUGCCCUUCAGUGACAUUCAUCCAGGGAUCACAUGUUAUACAAGGAUUCUGAUUUUACAUGUCUAUGGGGAAUAUCUAGAGUGUUUUAAGAGGGCAUUUCUGGAACGCCAGUGGGAGAGCAUCUGCAAGUGACCUGCUUGUUCCACAGGGCCACAUGGCAGUGAGCCAUUGGUCUGGUUUGAAGCCUCUGACUUCUGCUAUACUGUCAUUACUGGAUCUUCACCCCUCAGAUCCUGCUGUUGCCCUGUGUCAUGGAGACCCUGCAGUUUUGGAACUAUGGGACCAGCUCUUUCACAGGCUCCAGUAGUUCAUAAAUGAGUGUCUCCACAUUUGGACUGAUUAUAUGGGAAACUGACCAAGGACUGCCCCCAUCCCCCAAUGGCUUUCCUUGACUAGAGACACCUUGUGGGCAUAAUGAACCACGGAAGUCUCCCACUAACCACAAGACACGACUUCACAACACUAUGAUGAGUGCCAACACAGGACAUCCAACCAGCCACGGAAAAGGACGAUAGGGAUGAAGUCUCCUCCCCCUCAGACCUUCUGGCUAAGGAAGUGGCACUUGCUAGAGGAAGAAAGAAAGAUAAGAACAUGAAGUUGGUGAGAAGAAUCUGAAAGGAGUUUGGAAGUGGAAAGAAUAUGAGCAAAACAUAUUGUAUGAAAAUAAUUUUAAAAUAAAUUUCAAGACAUCAAAGUGU